AAUGUCCCUGUGGGAAAAUGUAUGUGGGGCAAACUUCGAGAAAAGUGCGAAUAAGGAUAAAUGAGCAUAAAAGAUCCGUUACUAACUUUAAUCUUAAUGAGAUAAAAACUUAUACACCUGUGGGAAAACAUUGCUUUAACCAUAAACAUACAUGUGCAAGCCUUAGAUGGCUUAUACUUGAAGAUGUAAAAUUACCAAUGAGAGGCGGAGAUCGAAAGAAACUGCUAUUACAAUGUGAGGCGAAAUGGAUUGACAUAUUAAAUACAUUGGAACCACAUGGUUUAAAUGAUGCACAAAGUCUAAAAUGCUUUUUGUAGUAAAGUUCUUUAUUUCUUGCAGGAAAUGUACAGUGGCAACAUUGAAUAGACUGAAUGAUUGUAACAGGUACGAAAAAAUUGAAACACUGUCAUACUGAUACAACUGUAACUAGUGCCCUAAGUGUCUUGUACUUUUGGAGUAGGCCCCUAGAGGGCAGUACUGCAUUGGAAAUUGUUAAUUGAUUGAACAAAGUCUGGCCACAUUGUGGAACUGACUAUCUUGUUGGUGGUUUUUCUUGUAUUUAAAUGUUGGGUAUGGGGAUAUGCACUUUGUGAACACUGGCACCUGAGGAAGGAUCAGAGAGAUCCGAAACAUGUAGUGCUACCAAAUAAAAAUAUCACUUGACUGAUGAUACUGGUUCUCCAGAGUUGUGAUUUAAUUUACGGAAACCCAUCUGCCCCAGGAGUUUUGCCCAUUGAGAGUGCAGCCAUUGCUUCUGCUAUUUCCAGUUCUGUAAUGGGGCUAUCUAGGUAGGCAGUUUCUUCGGGUAUCGGGUGGGGGAAGUCUAUGGGGUCCAAGAAUUCUGACAGUUGUACAUCCGUAUAAGUGACCUUGGAGCAGUAAAGGGUUUCGUAAAACCUGGCAAAACAAUAUAUGAUGUCAUGGGGGUUGGAUACUAAUGUUCCCCCUGCAUCCCUAAUUCUCAGCAUCAGGGUUUGUGUGUGUCUGAUAGUGGCUAGUCGCCUAACAUUUUCCAUGCCUUGUCAUCCUGGUCAAGCACCCUUAUAUAUGUUUUCACCCUCACUAAGGACCUCCACUGCCUCUUUACUUAGGGCUCGAGCUGCAGCAAUUUCGCUUAUAAGGAUGCCCGUGCCACAGCUUUAGAUGCCUCUCAUAAAAUAGCAGGGGAUGCAGUGCUCUGGUUGGUGGACCAUUAAUUGAUGUAUUCCUCUUGGGACUGAUCCCUAACUUGAAGGUGGGAAAGACAUAGUCGGCUCAGUCUCCGUUAGGCCUGUUCACAUCUGAGGGUAGGUGUGAGCACCACAGACAAUGGGGAGUUGUCCAAGAAGGCCAUGUAUUCUGCCGAGUCUACUAGCUAUGCAAAAUCUGCAGAAGCAAGGACAAUGUCUAUGUGUACUGCAGGAUUAUUGCUGCUCAUCUGGAUGUUUCCAUCUCCACAGCUCUAAUACUUCUGAAGAAUUUAUCCAUUUUUUUAAACCCGGGCUGUGGCCCCUAGUCUUGGCCACCCUAUCCAGCUGGGGGUCCAACGUGGCAUUGAAAUCCCCUAUGAUGCAUAAGGGUGCUGCUGGUAGGGACGCAAGGAUUUUAUAAAUAUUUUCUAAUACUGUCAUUGAGAAGGGGGGAGGACAGAACACAUUGACUAGGAUUAGUGGUUGGUUGUUGAGCUUGCAGUAUAGGACUAUAUAACGGCCAUAGAAGUCAGUGCGUACUUCUAGGAAGUCAAACGGCGCCCCUUUCCUGACCAAGAGGGAGACACCUCUGGCAUGUGUUUAAAAGGGUGCAUGAUAUGCCUGUGCCACCCAAAGAGAAAAAAAGUCUCCUGUAGCAUUAGUACAGAGGGGGGGGGGGGUGUUUCUUGAUAUAAUCGAAUAGGAGAGCUCUUUUGAAUUUACAGUUACGACUCCUAACAUUCCAAGAGAUGAUUGCUAUACCUUGCAUAUUGUAUUGUCACACACAUUAUUUUCAGUGGCCAGAGCAUUACAUUGCUUCUCUCUAGUACUGGGGCAGCGCCCCUAACUAGCAUUGCACACGAGGAAAGGAGGCUGAAAGCCGUCUUUACACCUUCCCAAGCAACUUUGAUCUUUUGGGACCUUUUUGUGUGGAUGGUUUUACACAGGGGGAGCUUCCAGGAGGACGAUGCAUAGAUAUGCUUUUUAAAAAAACCAUUGCCAUGUGAGUGCAUUUUAAUUCUUGAUUUUAUUUUUACACUAUUUGCUGCUGCAUGUCGAUUUACAGUUCAUACCAGGAGAAGUGCUUCACAAUUCUUUACGUGCAAGUUGAUAUUCUAUGUUUGUGAGUACUCACCUAAACAAGUCUCUAAGGAAAGUUCUUUAACCCUUUGGUGGUGGUUAAUACCGAAUGAGGGUAACACUUAUAAGGUGAAGUUAAUUGUUUUGCUUUUCACACAAGAGGGGGCAACAUUGU